AUGACUAUAAGGAACCAAUGAUUCUCUCUUCUUAAACAACCUAUAUACUCCACACUUAACCAGCAUUUGAUAGAUUAUCCAACCCCGAGCAAUCUUAGUUAUUGGUGGGGGUUCGGUUCGUUAGCAGGUAUUUGUUUAGUCAUUCAGAUAGUAACUGGCUUUUUAGCUAUGCAUCACACACCUCAUGUGGAUCUAGCUUUCAACAGCGUAGAACACAUUAUGAGAGAUGUUGAAGGGGGUUGGUUGCUCCGUUAUAUGCAUGCUAAUGAGGCAAGUAUGUUUCUCAUCGUGUUUCACCUUCAUAUUUUUUGUGGUCUAUAUCAUGCGAGUUAUAGCAGUCCUAGGGAAUUUGUUCGGUGUCUCGGAGUUGUCAUAUUCCUAUUAUAUACAUACAUACAUACAUACAUACAUACAUACAUACAUACAUACAUACAUACAUACAUACAUAUAUAUAUAUAUAUAUAUAUAUAUUAUAUAUAUAUAUAUAUACAUAAACACUAUUCUGAUCACGGGAUCAGAAUAAUAUUCUGA
rnacentral:rRNA from 1 species